UGUUCUCAAUACCUUUAAUCAUUCUUGUUGCUCUUCUCUGGACCCUUUCCAAUUUCUCCACAUCUUUCUUGAAAUGCGGUGCCCAGAACUGGACACAAUACUCCAGUUGAGGCCUAACCAGGCCUAUUGUUUCUGUGAACAAUACUAACAUAAUGCAAGGAGCUUAAAGAGAAGCUUCUCAUGAAGAAAAGAGCUCCCAAGCUCUGCUGAAGAUCUCUUCAGUCUCAUCCUUAGGCCAGUUGUACAUGUCAAACUUUUUUGCCAUGGUAGCUAUAUUGGUCGGGUGUAAUGAGGUCUGAUUUUUGAGACACAACUGUACUGGCAAAUACCCUAGCGUACAUGUGGUUAUACUGGCAAAACUACACUUUUGCAAACUUACUUGGGGGCUGAAGGUGAGGAGGGCUCAAAUAAACUGUGUUUUUGGCAGCAUCGUUUUGCUAGUAUAGCCUGUCCAGAUGAGAAGCAUUUUGCUCGCAUAAUAUUUUGGUAUAUCUAAACUGGCAAAGCCUUUCAAGCAUAGACCUGGUCUUAGUGGAAAGUGUCCCUAUGGAUUUUAUUUACUUCUGCCCUGAUCAGUGGCAAGGAACACAAUGACUAACAUGGAGCUAAGCACACAGAUCAAACUAUUUGUCAGUUUCUGUCCCCUUCCAGUGAGUUAGGUUCUUAUGGUAUUCUCUCUGUAUGAAAGAUGCACAUUUAUGCUCCUCUUACUCCAAAUGUGAUGAAAAAUAGUACAAGUCAUGUAAUAAGAGCAGGCUUUCAUUUUGUACCUGUGACUCUGCCAGAUUCCAUAGUGUCCCAAUCCUGGGGAAGAUUUGACAGCAAGAUUGAGAGUUGGAAAAUUCCAUUAGAAUUUUUAGCCUUCUAGAACCAGAAGAAACAAAGCUUCAUGAUUAUCAGCUUGCUUCCUAAGGGGGAACAAUUUGGCAAGCUGGGAUUAUCACACAAUCAUAUUUCUUUGCAAGUUAGACUGCGCAUUUUAUGAAAAAAAUCCAACAGUUUAUUAAUAGGAGGAAUGCUGCUUUUUAAAAAGAAAACCAGAACCUGUGACCUGUAUGUCCGGGGUUUUAGAGAAGUAGAAACCAGAGAAUUUAAUUAAAAAAAAAAAAUUAGUUUCUUAGACAUUAUACCUCCUCUUCUGUCUUCUGUCAUACAUGUUCUAUUUAUAUUGGCAUGGACUGAAACUAUGGUAAAUGUCCUGUGCUUUCUUCGUUGGUCCCAGUAGUACUAGGAACUGAUUUUCUGACACACAUUGCUUAUGCAAAAUACAUUCCUGGUUAGCAGCAUUGGGGUAAUUGACUUUUGGUGUUUAGAAAUAUCUUGUGAAAGAGUAAUUACAUUUUGAUUAUAAAACUGUAUUCCAAAUAUAUUAAAUUUAUAAUCUAGCAUGAAUACAUUUAAUUCAAACUGAAAUUUAGAAGGAAUAUCUCAGAUGCUAUGAAUAUACAUGGGGGGGAUAGCUCAGUGGUUUGAGCAUUGGUCUGCUAAACCAAGGGAACUGGCGUAAAAAUCUGUCUGGGGAUUGGCCCUGCUUUGAGCAGGGGGUUGGACUAAAUGACCUCCUGAAGUCCCUUCCAACCCUGAUAUUCCAGGAUUCUAAAUCUUGAAUUUCAGUAGCUGUCAGAGUUUUAAAGGACACGUAAUGAUCUGAAUUUUAGAAUGUUUUUGAAAGUAUCAGCUUAAGAACUGCUUUACUAUCUAGGAUUAAUGAGGUUAACACUGUGGAAAACUAUUGCCCAGAUCCUUGGCAUUUGUGUUUCUUGAUAAAUAUAUUGGUGUCAAUUGACUUUUGACCGGGAGAGCAGCUAGUUGUUUACUGACAACUGUUUAUGUUGCUUGGAGAGGCUUAAGAGCUUGAAUUCCUCUGGAGCUUGUCAAGAAGGUGAUAGUGUGCAUGGCCAUACAUCUGGAACAUUGUGUAAUAGCAGGAGUUGUUAGGCAUGGAAAGAAGGUUUGGAGAAGUAAAUAGAAAAGAUUGCAGCAUGGAGGCACAUUUACUUUACAUCAUGAGGCAUUUGACUUUUUCCAGAAAUGUACCCCAAAACUAGAAGCUGCUUUUUCUAGUCUAUUGUGAGCUUGUUUGUUUUUCCUUGCUUUUAACAAGUUGAUAGGGAAAGGUUGCUAGCUUCAUCUAGCCACGGUCUGGUUCACAGGUCCAUUUCAAGUAGUCUUGUUAGUAGGUGGAGACACCUCCCUUCUUUGAACUCUUGUGCACUUGGUGAAGAUAGCCUAUUUUAAUUCAUUUGGACUGCUUCCCUUUAGAGAUUUGUUGUGUGGGUUGUCUUCCACGCCACACUUCUAUGUACUGUCAGUGAAGGGAAACUUACUAAGCAACUGUUCUCUGAAGUGCAGUAUACUGGAAUUGCAAUAACUGAAUGAAGCAGAAUACUGUCCUUCCAAGCACUGAGGCCUGGAGCUGUGCUAUCUCCAGCUGUUGCCUUGUCUGAUCUCCUGAGCAAAAGCAGGGUCUUGGCUGGCCAGUUCUAGACUGAUGGGAGUUCCCCCUCCUCCACCCACAAGAGGAAGCAAAACCAAGGUACUUCAGGAAAUGGUGUUGGUGAUUCAGUAGAUCACAAUCUCUGAGGCCAAACAGAUUUUCUAGCAUGAUGCUAGGCAGGUCUCUUUUGUGAGACAGAAAGUAGAAGUCUUGACUACUUGUGGUACAAGUCUGGGUUUCAGAUGGCUCUGAGGAAGAACAGUGUUUUGUAGAUAAGCCGCACACUAUUAAUGGUCUGGUAGAACAAUAUUAUAAUCUUCUCUCCUAAGCAGUCUCUUCCCAUGUUUCAUCCUCAUAGGUCACCAUAAUAUGCAAGUGAUCUGACCCUAAAAUACAUUGGAAGGCAGCUGGAGUGCCAGUAGAAAAAUGUCAGGCUGAGUCUGACUGGUUCUGAUAGGGAAAUUUUGAAGUUCUAUGCCAUGGCUGUACUGAAGGGGAAGAAGGACUUCUUCACUUCAGCUGUAGCCAAUGCAAAAAUGUGGAUCAGCUAAACUGUUCCAGAUGGCUAGCCUUGUUAAUCCAGGUUGUCUCCGCUUGGUAACAACCAAGUAUUCAACAUUAGUGGAAGUAUUUAAGUUGCUUCAUGCGUAAGAAUACUUCGAUCCAGAGUGAAUGCUUUGUGGUAGGAUAACACUAUUGAGGGAGGGGGAAAACAGCAGGUGAUGCUCACAGUGAUCUUGGAAGGUGCCUGGGGAGCUUCAGAAAGCUGGACCCUUUUUCUUUUUUUGGCUGGUGCUGAACCUGAUAUUGAAGGGAAUUUUUGUGAUCCCUCUCUGAGGGCAAUGAGUAAGUAUUGCUUAAGAGGAUGAUGAUCAUCCUCUACUGAAGAAACCAUCUCUUGAUGUUAACGUCUCUUCAAUCUCUUUACUCUCUUGAAUCCCCUUUUUGGAGGGAAGGUUAUCAAGGAUUUGUAGUGAGGCAGCUUUAGUUGUACAUCAAGUCUCGGGUUUGUGACCCAUUCAGUCUGGUGUUAAACUUGUCUGUGAUACAGAGCUUCUUAGUAUUGGGUGAUCAAGCUUCUGUGUUGAUUCUCUCAUGCUCUGUGUUUGUCAGGUCACUGAGAUAGUAGACACAUUCUACUGCAUUGCCUUCAAUGUCCAGGUGACACCCAGCUCUGUCUCCAUUUUGUCAGGUUCUGCCAUUUGAAUGCCUUAGGGGGAGCACUGGUGAACUCCAUUCACCUCAUUGCUUCACCUGUGUGGAUCAUAAUGCAAGACUGGGGCUCUUAGGGUGUGAUUGCAACUCCGUUAUGGAUGGUGUAGGUUAUCUGACGGACUCAGCCCAGACAAGACUCAGAUGUGAACUAAGGAGUUGGUAAUAUUUAUACAGAGUUUUUCAUCCCUCAAUCACAAAAGAGCGUCAGCAUUGUUUUACAGAUGGGAAAUGGAGGCACAGAGGUGAAGUGACUUGUGAAGAUUGCCUCAUUAUAGAAGGAGUUUGUCUGCUGUCUGUUUAGAUGAACCUAAAGUUGCACUGGUGGAAAUCUUUCAGCAACUUCUCUAGUAUGGACCCAACUCUAGUUCUUGGGCCAAUGGGCAUCAGAUGAUUUUUUUUAAAUGUGUAUAUAAUUAUAUUGUGCACCAGAGUUCUGUUUGAAUUCUGUGUUCUCAUAUGGCAGCCCAGACUGGCUGAUGUCUCCUUCCAGCUGGUGGAGUUAGGAAAAUGGCUUUUCCUGCUGUAAAGGAUUUGCUAUCUGUCAGUCUCUCAUGGGCAAAAUAAAACUUCUGCUAACUGCUCUGAGGCCUAGGCUAUUUCCUUUCUCCUUCAGAUUCUAAAACUUACUGUGUCAGCUGUCUUCUUCCAAAAUAUCUAAAGUAUUUACAUUAUAGACUGAUUCCCUGCCAGAGACUAUCUUUUUGAGUUACAAGAGUACAAAACAAGUGAGUGUCACUAUUUUGUGACCAGAUGAGACUUUCACAGAAAUCUAGACUUAAGAUAUUCCUGUGCAAAACGUACAUCUUUUGUAUCCUAGACAUAACCCCUGGAAAUAGAAAUAUGAAUGGAACCUUAAUUAUAAAAUAGAGAACAUUUGCAUUGUGAUAGUCAAGUGAAAUAAGACUGCCUGCUUGGAUGCAGAAGUCCAAGGUUAAAAUUGAUUGAUUUUUUUUAUCCACAGACUAAAUAUAAUACAAGUUUUCCUAUUCUGUCUUGCCACUGUGCCUCCUUGCUUGUCGACUUCCAGGCAUGAGUAGGCAAUUCAUUCUUCAUGGCCACCUAAUCCUUGGAAUCUGAAGUAGCUUUUACUCAUUCACACCUGCUUGCUGGGUACUAGGCGGACAACCCAGCUUGUUUCAUGUAAGGUAUCCGAUCCAUUAGACUCAAAGCUGCAUGUGUACACAGCUAAACCCCUGAUGGUAGGGACUGUGACACUUAGAAGUGCUUGCCAUACAGUGAAAUACCUUCACCAGGAGCUAUCUGCCUCCUGGCUGGGUGGAAGGUGGCUUGGGGGUUCCUCCCACUACUGUUUCUGCCUCCUGCCAAGCAGGUGAAGGAGGCUCCCAGCUCCUGCUGUUGGCACACUUCUUUCUGAGGCUCUCCUUCUCCCUUUGUGGUGGUGGUGCUGCUGCUGCAAUCUGGAAAACAGGUGGAGAGAAUUAAGGGAAGGAGAAAUUUUGUUGAUGGAUUGGGUGGGAAACUAUAACAAAAAAACAAAAUUACAACACCUGGGAAGCUAAUGUGUUCUUGUUCCAGUUUCUUACUUAAAAAUAAAAUGUAGUUCAUUUCUCAUGUCACCAGUCUCAGUUUGUAGGAAAUUUGGCAGACUGGGUACACUACACUAGUGCACUCAAAGCGGGUCUCUACCAAAAAAAAAACCUGGUAAUCACUGGGUUAAAUCUGUCAGUCAACUAGAAUACCAUCAGUUGUUCCUGACUAUCACCAUAUUUACUUGAAAGUACCAAAAAGAGAAAUUUUAAUCAAGUACUUUUAAAAAGAAAUAUAGACCUAGUUAUUAUGGUUCACUCAGUGUUUUACCAUCAUGACAAGACCAAAUAAUUGUGUCCAGCAGGGGGAGACAAAGAACAAUUCUCAUCAGAAUA